rnacentral:rRNA from 1 species
AACGAACGCUGGCGGCGUGCCUAACACAUGCAAGUCGAGCGCGAAAAGGGCAACCUGAGUAGAGCGGCGCACGGGUGCGUAACACGUGGGUAAUCUGCCUCAAAGUCUGGGAUAACCUUCCGAAAGGUUGGCUAAUACUGGAUAAGCUCACGGGGUCUUCGGACUCUGCGGGAAAAGGUGGCCUCUAUUUAUAAGCCAUCACUUUGAGAUGAGCCCGCGGCCCAUCAGCUAGUUGGCGGGGUAACGGCCCACCAAGGCUACGACGGGUAGCUGGUCUGAGAGGACGAUCAGCCACACUGGAACUGAGACACGGUCCAGACUCCUACGGGAGGCAGCAGUGGGGAAUUUUGCACAAUGGGCGAAAGCCUGAUGCAGCAACGCCGCGUGUGUGAUGAAGGUCUUCGGAUCGUAAAGCACUUUCGACCGGGACGAACAACCUCUGGGUAAUUCCCAGGGGCCUGACGGUACCGGGAGAAGAAGCACCGGCUAACUCUGUGCCAGCA